GACGAACGCUGGCGGCGUGCUUAACACAUGCAAGUCGAACGGUAAGGCUCCAGCUUGCUGGGGUACACGAGUGGCGAACGGGUGAGUAACAAGUGGGUGACCUGCCCUGCACUUCGGGAUAAGCCUGGGAAACUGGGUCUAAUACCGGAUAGGACCGCACCGUGAGGGUGUGGUGGAAAGUUUUUUCGGUGUGGGAUGGGCCCGCGGCCUAUCAGCUUGUUGGUGGGGUAAUGGCCUACCAAGGCGGCGACGGGUAGCGGGCCUGAGAGGGUGGACGGCCACAUUGGGACUGAGACACGGCCCAGACUCCUACGGGGGGCAGCAGUGGGGAAUAUUGCACAAUGGGCGGAAGCCUGAUGCAGCGACGCCGCGUGGGGGAUGACGGCCUUCGGGUUGUAAACUCCUUUCACCAUCGACGAAGGGUUUCUGACGGUAGAUGGAGAAGAAGCACCGGCUAACUACGUG
rnacentral:rRNA from 1 species